rnacentral:rRNA from 15 species
AGUGCGAAGACUGCCAGCGGAAAAGGGAUUCAAGUUGAGGACGACGGCGUCUCUGCUUGGCCGGUAUUCGAUGGGAACUGCACGAGCUGCUGUGGAAACUUCAU